rnacentral:rRNA from 1 species
AUUGAACGCUGGCGGCAUGCUUUACACAUGCAAGUCGAACGGUAACAGGCCUUCGGGUGCUGACGAGUGGCGAACGGGUGAGUAAUGCAUCGGAACGUACCCAGAGGUGGGGGAUAACGCAGCGAAAGCUGUGCUAAUACCGCAUGUGAUCUGAGGAUGAAAGCGGGGGACCGAGCAGCAAUGUUUGGCCUCGCGCCUUUGGAGCGGCCGAUGUCGGAUUAGCUAGUUGGUGGGGUAAAGGCCUACCAAGGCGACGAUCCGUAGCUGGUCUGAGAGGACGACCAGCCACACUGGGACUGAGACACGGCCCAGACUCCUACGGGAGGCAGCAGUGGGGAAUUUUGGACAAUGGGCGCAAGCCUGAUCCAGCAAUGCCGCGUGCGGGAAGAAGGCCUUCGGGUUGUAAACCGCUUUUGGCAGGAACGAAACGGUGUCCGCUAAUACCGGGCGAUAAUGACGGUACCUGCAGAAUAAGCACCGGCUAACUACGU